AACUAGUAAGCCUUUUUUGUACCCAUUUAAACAGUCGAUCUUAAGGAAUAAGCUCCACUCUUGGUCGGAGCUGACACAUACACACACUUUUUUAUUUUUAUGAGAAAGC